UACGUAGGGGGCAAGCGUUAUCCGGAAUUAUUGGGCGUAAAGAGCUCGUAGGCGGUUUGUCGCGUCUGCUGUGAAAACUGGAGGCUCAACCUCCAGCCUGCAGUGGGUACGGGCAGACUAGAGUGCGGUAGGGGAGAUUGGAAUUCCUGGUGUAGCGGUGGAAUGCGCAGAUAUCAGGAGGAACACCGGUGGCGAAAGCGGGUCUCUGGGCCGAUACUGACGCUGAGGAGCGAAAGCGUGGGGAGCGAACAGG
rnacentral:rRNA from 1 species